rnacentral:rRNA from 1 species
AUUGAACGCUGGCGGCAGGCUUAACACAUGCAAGUCGAACGAGUGGCGGACGGUUGAGUAAUGCUUGGGAAUCUAGCUUAUGGAGGGGGAUAACUACGGGAAACUGUAGCUAAUACCGCGUACCAUAGGUUGAGCCCAAGUGGGAUUAGCUAGUUGGUUAGGUAAAGUCUCACCAAGACGACGAUCUCUAGCUGGUCUGCGAGGAUGACCAACCACCCUGGGACUGUGACACGGCCCAGACUCCUACGGGAGGCAGCAGUGGGGAAUAUUGCGCAAUGGGGGCAACCUGACGCAGCCAUGCCGCGUUAAUGAAGAAGGCCUUCGGUUUGUAAAGUUCUUUCGGUAGCGAGGCGUUAACUACAGAAGAAGCACCGGCUAACUCCGUGCCAGCCGCCGCGGUAAUAC